GAUGAACGCCGGCGGCGUGCUUAACACAUGCAAGUCGAACGGUGAACGAGGGAGCUUGCUCCCUCCGGAUCAGUGGCGAACGGGUGAGUAACACGUGAGCAAUCUGCCCUGGACUCUGGGAUAAGCGUUGGAAACGACGUCUAAUACCGGAUACGAGACGCUAAGGCAUCUUCAGCGUCUGGAAAGAACUUCGGUCCAGGAUGAGCUCGCGGCCUAUCAGGUAGUUGGUGAGGUAACGGCUCACCAAGCCUACGACGGGUAGCCGGCCUGAGAGGGUGACCGGCCACACUGGGACUGAGACACGGCCCAGACUCCUACGGGAGGCAGCAGUGGGGAAUAUUGCACAAUGGGCGCAAGCCUGAUGCAGCAACGCCGCGUGAGGGACGACGGCCUUCGGGUUGUAAACCUCUUUUAGCAGGGAAGAAGCGAAAGUGACGGUACCUGCAGAAAAAGCACCGGCUAACUACGUGCCAGCCGCCGCAGUAAAAC
rnacentral:rRNA from 1 species